rnacentral:lncRNA from 1 species
UCUUUUACAGAGCCUCACUUUACUUUUUGUUUCCCCAGACCUGUCCCCUUGCUAUCCAGCAGUACAUAAUCAGCUCUAAUUACUCAAAUACAUGAAAAUGGAGGAGGAAUCUCUGGUCUGAUUCUUGAACCCAAAAGGCUGAUCAAGAAAGUCACAAACAAGAGUACAGCCGUGUGCCUUGAUGGAAGUAAACUGCGAUACAUGGAAUUAAUUUUAACGGGCCAGACGCAUGCCUCAUCUUGUAAUGAUGGUGAAGAGUUGCAGUGACCACAGCUGGAAUGGGUGCCUGUGACACGGAAGCUCCACUGUCAUUCUUUGAUUUGAGCUUUUGAAAUCACACUUUUGGAGGACACAGAGAAGUAAAGCAUUAAUACAAGUGAAUUUGGAGAGUAAAAAGAGUCAAACCCAAGGAACAAGUCAUUGUGAUGUGGC